CCAAAAUUCAGCAAAUAAUGGAAAGGGUGGAUUCAUGUGAACUGACAGUGGGCUUGACAAAAAUAAGAUUCCUCUCUCUCAGCCAAUAGGGUGUCACAACCUAUAAUAUUCUUUCAUCAAAAUAAUGCGACUCUCACCCAAAAGAUCUUAAUACAUAUAUUCCUCCUCCUUCUAUAACAAAAACUUACUACAAUACACAAACAAAACCCACUCUACCACUCUUCCUCUCAUAUACAUUGCCACUCAUUCAUCCCUCCUUCACCAAACGACUUCGGCUGCGCCACCCAUACACCUGCCGGGACACUACUUACAACCACCUCACACAAAAACCUUUAACCUUCAUUACUCAUUAACCCCAAAACCACUAUAAAAAUACACUCCAAUUCAAAAUCAACACCACUCCAUCUAGCUCUCCACUGAACAAAAACCAAACCUUCUUCACUAUGAGCUCACCACAACCAAACACAUAUUGUCACCUUUUAUCAUCACAGGAAUGCUUUAGCUGUAACCCCCCUUUCUAGAGAUCUAUCAGCGUCACCACCUUGUUCUUAACUCUCAAACUCCCUCCGUCGAUCUUCCAUAUAAACCACCCCUUAAACCUCCUUCAACUCAUAACAAAAGACCAUCAUAACAAAACAUAACUCUCUCAACCACAAUAAUCAAGAUCUGUAAAAAUAAAAUAAAAGAGAAGAGGAAACAAAAUCUGGACAAGGUGAAGACGAGGAUGAACUGAAAUCGAAUGCCAUAUGACAUCACCUAAUGCAGCCACCACUUCAACAACCACUGCGUUGCUGUCAAACAUCUCUCCGCACCGCCGGAAAAGUGUUCGUAACUCUACCGUCAUAACCACCAUAUUGCAGUUGGUUAACAUUGUCGAGCUAAGGCAAGCCUACAUUGAUCAGCAACUGGGAACGUAAGCUGAAACAAAAAGAUAAACUUAUCCAAAGAGGGAAAAUGGAAAAAGUAGUUGAGUUCCUAGGGAAAAUGCAGAAGGUUUGAUGUAUUUGAGGGAGUCUCUGCUAUGUAUUGAAGGAAAUUAAUUUGAAUCAAGUGGAUAAGAUCAAUGGAUGCUAGAAGACAAAAUAUGGUACAAUAGUACAACCACUACUCUGCACGCUAUGCAAGAAAGGACAGCGCCGCCUGCACCCUGUUGUGGUAGUCUGUCAUAAGACGCCUUGUCUCUCACAAUUGUUCCCUUGUACCUGAUUCAUUGCUUACUAAGCAAAUAUAAUAAUGAGAAGGCGCUGAUUCAUGUAAUGGGCUUGAUUUGAUUUCCUUAUUUUUGGCCCAUGAUCCAAGACAUCGCAGGAAACCAUAAUGAAGGCUUAUAAAUAGAUCAUGCUGAAGAUUGAGAAGAGAGUUCAACAUUACUCACAAUCACAUAUCUCUUGCUAAUUGUCCAUCUCAAGAAGUCUUCAUGUUACUCUUAGGUUUACAUUUCUUCUUCAGUACUUGUUUAAGAAUGUAUCUUUUGAGAACUAUGUAUGUAGUUUUUACUCAGCUCAUCACGAGCUAAACCUUUUGUAUAUUGAGCAAUGGGAAGUUAAUGUUAUGAUAAUUUUAUGUUAA